GUAAUACGUAGGGUGCAAGCGUUAUUGGAAAUUACUGGGCGUAAAGCGUGCGCAGGCGGUCGGAAAGAAAGAUGUGAAAUCCCAGAGCUUAACUGGAACGCAUUUUUAACUACCGAGCUAGAGUGUGUCAGAGGGAGGUGGAAUUCCGCGGUAGCAGUGAAAUGCGUAGAUAUGCGGAGGAACACCGAUGGCGAAGGCAGCCUCCUGGGAUAACACUGACGCCAUGCACGAGAGCGUGGGGAGCAAACAGGAUAGAUACCCUGGUAGUCCACGCCCUAAACGAUGUCAACUAGCUGUUGGGGCCUUCGGGCCUUGGUAGCGCAGCUAACGCGUGAAGUUGACCGCCUGGGGAGUACGGUCGCAAGAUUAAAACUCAAAGGAAUUGACGGGGACCCGCACAAGCGGUGGAUGAUGUGGAUUAAUCGAUGCAACGCGAAAAACCUACCUACCCUUGACAGCUGGAAUGCCGAAGAGAUGGUAGUGCUCGCAAGAGAACCGGAACACAGGGCGCAUGGCGUCGUCAGCUCGGUCGUGAGAUGUGGGUUAAGUCCCGCAACGAGCGCAACCCUUGUCAUUAGUGCUACGAAGGGCACUCUAAUGAGACUGCCGGUGACAAACCGGAGGAAGGUGGGGAUGACGUCAAGUCCUCAUGGCCCUUAUGGGUAGGGCUUCACACGUCAUACAAUGGUCGGGACAGAGGGUCGCCAACCCGCGAGGGGGAGCCAAUCCCAGAAACCCGAUCGUAGCCGGAUCGCAGUCUGCAACUCGACGCGUGAAGUCGGAAUCGCUAGUAAUCGCGGAUCAGCAUGUCGCGGUGAAUACGUUCCCGGGUCUGUACACACCGCCCGUCACACCAUGGGAGUUGUUGCACCAGAAGCAGGUAGCUUAACCUUCGGGAGGGCGCUGCCACGGUGUGGCCGAUGACUGGGGU
rnacentral:rRNA from 1 species